UACGAAGGGGGCUAGCGUUGCUCGGAAUUACUGGGCGUAAAGCGCACGUAGGCGGCUUUUUAAGUCGGAGGUGAAAUCCUGGAGCUCAACUCCAGAACUGCCUUCGAUACUGAAGAGCUCGAGUCCGGGGGAGGUGAGUGGAACUGCGAGUGUAGAGGUGAAAUUCGUAGAUAUCGGGAGGAACACCGGUGGCGAAGGCGGCGACCUGGGACAAUACUGACACUGAGGUGCGAAAGCGUGGGGAGCAAACAGG
rnacentral:rRNA from 1 species